AGCAGCCGCGGUAAUUCCAGCUCCAAUAGCGUAUAUUAAAGUUGUUGCAGUUAAAAAGCUCGUAGUUGAAUUUCGGAAUCAGUAUGUCGGUCGUGCCUUCGGUAUGUACUGGUGUCACUGAUUCCUCCCUUCUGAAGAACCAUCAUGUCAUUCACUUGGUGUGGUGGGAAAUCAGGACUGUUACUUUGAAAAAAUUAGAGUGUUUAAAGCAGGCUCGCGCUUGAAUACAUUAGCAUGGAAUAAUGAAAUAGGACGUUAAUCCUAUUUUGUUGGUUUCUAGGAUCGACGUAAUGAUUAAUAGGGAUAGUUGGGGGCAUUAGUAUUCAAUUGUCAGAGGUGAAAUUCUUGGAUUUAUUGAAGACUAACUACUGCGAAAGCAUUUGCCAAGGAUGUUUUCAUUAAUCAAGAACGAAAGUUAGGGGAUCGAAGACGAUCAGAUACCGUCGUAGUCUUAACCAUAAACUAUGCCGACUAGGGAUCGGAUGAUGUUAAUUUUUUAAUGACUCA
rnacentral:rRNA from 1 species